rnacentral:ribozyme from 1 species
GGGGUUUAUGGUUCUGUCGAGCGAAAUGUAUUUUGCAUCUAAGUUGUACGAAG